AUUGAACGCUGGCGGCAGGCCUAACACAUGCAAGUCGAGCGGAUGAAGGGAGCUUGCUCCUGGAUUCAGCGGCGGACGGGUGAGUAAUGCCUAGGAAUCUGCCUGGUAGUGGGGGAUAACGUCCGGAAACGGGCGCUAAUACCGCAUACGUCCUGAGGGAGAAAGUGGGGGAUCUUCGGACCUCACGCUAUCAGAUGAGCCUAGGUCGGAUUAGCUAGUUGGUGGGGUAAAGGCCUACCAAGGCGACGAUCCGUAACUGGUCUGAGAGGAUGAUCAGUCACACUGGAACUGAGACACGGUCCAGACUCCUACGGGAGGCAGCAGUGGGGAAUAUUGGACAAUGGGCGAAAGCCUGAUCCAGCCAUGCCGCGUGUGUGAAGAAGGUCUUCGGAUUGUAAAGAACUUUAAGUUGGGAGGAAGGGCAGUAAGUUAAUACCUUGCUGGUUUGACGUUAACAACAGAAUAAGCACCGGCUAACUUCGUG
rnacentral:rRNA from 1 species